rnacentral:rRNA from 2 species
CAAGAGAUGGGCUUGCGGCUGAUUAGCUAGUUGGUGGGGUAAAAGCUUACCAAGGCGAUGAUCAGUAGCUGGUCUGAGAGGAUGAUCAGCCACACUGGGACUGAGACACGGCCCAGACUCCUACGGGAGGCAGCAGUGAGGAAUUUUCCGCAAUGGGCGAAAGCCUGACGGAGCAAUGCCGCGUGAAGGAUGACGGCCUAUGGGUUGUAAACUUCUUUUCUCAGAGAAGAAUUUUUGACGGUAUCUGAGGAAUAAGCAUCGGCUAACUCUGUGCCAGCAGCCGCGGUAAGACAGAGGAUGCAAGCGUUAUCCGGAAUGAUUGGGCGUAAAGCGUCUGUAGGUGGCUUAAAAAGUCUCCUGUCAAAGAUCAGGGCUUAACCCUGGGCCGGCAGGAGAAACUCUUAGGCUAGAGUUUGGUAGGGGCAGAGGGAAUUCCCGGUGGAGCGGUGAAAUGCGUAGAGAUCGGGAGGAACACCAAAGGCGAAGGCACUCUGCUGGGCCAGAAGUAAUCGACACGAUCGAUUUGGCG